rnacentral:rRNA from 1 species
UAACCUGCCCAAGAGAUCGGGAUAACACCUGGAAACAGAUGCUAAUACCGGAUAACAAUAGAUGAUGCCUAUCAACUGUUUAAAAGAUGGUUCUGCUAUCACUCUUGGAUGGACCUGCGGUGCAUUAGCUAGUUGGUAGGGUAACGGCCUACCAAGGCGAUGAUGCAUAGCCGAGUUGAGAGACUGAUCGGCCACAUUGGGACUGAGACACGGCCCAAACUCCUACGGGAGGCAGCAGUU